UACAGAGGAGCCAAGCGUUGUCCGGAUUGACUGGGCGUAAAGCGCACGCAGGCGGAUGCGCGCGUGGGGUGUGAAAUCUGGCCGCUUAACGGCCAGGCGCCAUCCCAUACGGCGCGUCUGGAGUGAUGCAGAGGUCGGUGGAAUUGCCGGUGUAGUGGUGAAAUGCGUAGAGAUCGGCAGGAACACCCAGGGGGAAACCAGCCGACUGAGCAUCUACUGACGCUGAUGUGCGAGAGCGUGGGGAGCGAACCGG
rnacentral:rRNA from 1 species